UUUAGUAUAAUGCCGAUCGCUUUGGAAAAAACGGUAAAAAGGGGGUGAUAGAGGGGUGUAUCCCCAUCUUAAAACUGAAAACAGAACCUGCCGGAGGCUUAUAGUUUUUAAGUAAUUUAAUGUUAAAGUUCUAUAAUUUAGCGAAAAGUUGGUGUUGCCAUACACCUGAAAUGAAAACGAAGUUCGCACGCAGGGAUGUUCAGUGGAAGGUUCAUUGUAAAACUGCAGUAUUUUUUGCUGUAAUUUAAAGUUGAGAAAUGAAUUUGAAAAUAAAAACAUACAACUCAUUUAAACUUAAAAACAAUGAUAUUAAGCGUAUCACAAAAAAUAAUAAAGUAAUUAAAUUGAUUAACACAGUAUUUUUGCGUGGAACUCUUUAUCGCGUAGGCGGCCUUCGGCCGCGCUUCAAAAAAAUAACCCUCAUCAGUCCAACUCCGGCUACGCAAUCCACAGUAUUUUUGCGUAGAACUCCUUUUCGCGUGGGCGGCCUUCGGCCGCACUUCAAAAAAAUAACCCUCAUCAGUCCAACUCCGGCUACGCAAUGCACAGUAUUUUUGCGUAAAACUCCUUUCCGUGUUAAAACCAUUGAACCCAAAAUUAAAACGUCAUAUGCGUGUAUGUAGUAAGCAGGCACAAUAACCCCCAUUCCCAUCAUUAACACUAAACUCAAGUACUUAAUUUUUGUUUUCAUUUGCAGGCAUCCGGCAACACCAUACUGUUGUAAUUCCAAUCUUCUUCUUGUUCGCGCUUAAAAUUGGAAUGUGAUUGCAUAGGCAAAUGAAUUUGCAUUUAAUUUUAAUAGAUAUAAUUGGAAUAUUAGCAUAAAAAUCGGUACAAACACGCGUGUGAGUGUAUAUUUGGUGAUUUAUAGUGAAAUGUUAAAAAAUAUAGAGUGUAAUGUGGCAAAUUAUACUGAUGUUCCCAAGGGCAUUUUGAAUCCGACCUCGAUGUUCCAGAGAGAGAAAAUAAUGGGUAAAGGACAACUCUGCCAAUUGUACAAUCGGAUGCAACGCGAACUACUAUAUGUAUACGCUAUUCCAGAAAGUCGGAGAUUUGUUUUUUCGUGCGCCUACGUUUGAAACCAGUCAUUUGCUUUAGUAAUUGGGAAUUUUCAUCAUCCAUAUCCAUGCUGGGCUCCCACAAGCGCAGACGUCUCGAGCUCUGUGUGCAAGGAAUCGGCCGUAAAGAGAGCUCUGAUCGAAUUCAGUACUAUCGGGAUUGGGAUCUUUUGGGAUUGACUUUGCUGCUUCUAAACACUCUCUCAUUAAUUUGAUUUAGUAUAUUUGUAUGUUUCAUUAUAUAUAUUUUGUUAUUUUUAAGACAAUAUUUUGUGUUAUUAUGACAAUUUGUUUUUGUUGACUAAUUUCUACUUCAAUAAAUAAAUAAAG